rnacentral:rRNA from 1 species
GAUGAACGCUGGCGGCGUGCCUAAUACAUGCAAGUCGAACGAGGAACUUUAAUCUUCGGAUGAAAGUUUCCUAGUGGCGAACGGGUGAGUAACGCGUUGGUGACCUGCCCCAAAGUGGGGGAUAACAGUUCGAAAGGACUGCUAAUACCGCAUAAGAUCAAUGGGAUUAGAUGCCUAUUGAUUAAAGGCGAAAGUCGCUUUGGGAGGGGCCUGCGUCCCAUCAGCUUGUUGGUAGGGUAAUAGCCUACCAAGGCUAAGACGGGUAGGGGACCUGAGAGGGUGGCCCCCCACACUGGCACUGAAACACGGGCCAGACACCUACGGGUGGCAGCAGUAGGGAAUAUUAGUAAUGGGCGAAAGCCUGAACUAGCAACGCCGCGUGUGCGAAGAAGGCCUUCGGGUCGUAAAGCACUUUUUGAGAGGAUGAGGAAGGACGGUACUCUCAGAAUAAGUCUCGGCUAACUACGUGCCAGCAGCCGCGGUAAUCGAUACUCGUA